rnacentral:tRNA from 1 species
GCCGGGGUGGCCGAGCGGUCUAAGGCGGCGGGCCGCAGAGUAUAACACGCCGAGACCCGUUAUUUUCGCGGGUUCAAAUCCCGCCCCCGGCU